rnacentral:misc_RNA from 1 species
GAUCACCCAGGUAAAGCUCCUUUUAAGAAACAUGCACGUGUUACGAAUGCGCGGACUAUACUGAAGAACGCGUGGACGUACUGCUUGGAAAAAUCAAUAGCGCUUGCGCGAAGUUCGGUCAAGAUAUCAUGACAUGACUAUUUUUCUGUGAGAAAUAAAUAUUCGUCGUACUGUGGUUACGGCGUCGAAUCGAUCGGUUAAUCGCCCACUUUUCUCUCCCUCUCGCAAGUUGCGCGAAAAUUAUUUCUAUAGCAUUUUUAUUUCUGCAUCAUUUCGGUAAUAUUAUAUGGCAUGUUCUUUAGCACUUCUAUACUAUUGUAACAUUUUGUUUCACUACAUCGUAGUUAAUAUUUCAUGUUACCAUAGGUCAGUACGUUUAUGACAAAUUUUAAAAAUUGUCUAAUUUUAUAAAAUAAGAUAAAUUGUUUGAAUUAGAUAAUUUGCCCCGUAGGUAAUUUAGCUUAUACGAAAAGAGACAUAUUCUACAAUAUUCGAGAUAUAUUUCAGAAAGUGAUAUAUAUGACCUCCGAUCGACGUAUCGUUCUCAAAUGCAGUCGAAUGCUUGAAGAAGGAUGAUACGUAUAGUUAAACAUUUUAGACUCCAACGAAUUUUACUACUUGCUAUUGGUUUAUGGCCUUACAACCAAUCAAAUUUUGUUCAAUUUCAGUUUUUAUUAUUUUCGAUUGUUUCAAAUAGCUUUAUUAUAUUUCAGCUAACAUCGAUUAUAACUUCCGAAUGUACUGUGGAUUUUAUUGUAAAACUUCUGUCUAUAGUUUCCUUUUCUCUCGCGUCCACAGCUCACUACAUUGCUUUUUGGAUUAACAUAUACACUGUGAAGUGUUUAAUGGAACGUCUCCAGUAUGUCUGUAACGAAGUAAAAGAUGAAAACGAAAUCACUAUAAUAAAGAAAUAUGCAAACAGUGCGGAACAUAUCUCGAUUUUCGUUACAUCGUGUACGGUGUUCUGCUUAUUGACUAUUACUCUUAUGCCACUUUUCCCGCGGAUUCUUAGCACCUUUCUACUCGUAAAUAUAUCUCGACCACUUUACACUACGCAAUUCGUAACUGAAUAUUUUGUUGAUAAAGAAAAGAAUUUUUAUUUAAUUUUGCUACACACGCGCACAUCCUUUUACAUAGGAAUGAUUGCAAUCGUGGGGGGAGGUUUGGUAGGAUUGGCAUUUCUUAAACACAUUUGCGGACUAUUUAGCAUUGCUAGUUAUCGUAUAGAACACUCAAUAAGAUCAAAUAUUCAUGAAAAAACUGAUCUGAGGAACGAGAUGGAAAUCGAGAAGAAGAUAAUUUGUGCAGUGGAUAUUCAUCGCACAGCUAUUGAGUUGUCUGAAUUCUUCAUAUCUAGUUUCGAGGGACCAUAUGUUUGUCACAUGGUGUUAGUCGUAACAAGUUUAUGCCUUAAUCUAUACGAAAUAUUUCAAACUGCACUGAUUCGAGAUAAAGUAGAAGAAUUUUUAUUACACUCUGGGUUUGCAUUUGGUUUGCUUCUAUAUUCGUUCCUCGCCAACUCUAGCGGUGAAGAAAUUACAGAGCAUUAUAACGACAUGUUUUCUUGCGCAUAUAAUGUUCGGUGGUAUACAGCUCCCAUACAUAUACAGAAAUUAAUAUUGUUCCUGUUGCAAAGAAGGUGUAAACCUUACGGGCUCAAAUUAGGUGGAAUUUUUACUGCAUCUUUAGAAAGCUUUGCUUCGUUAUCAACUGCAUCGGUAUCUUAUUUUACUGUUAUAUAUUCUACACAGAAGUGAUACAACUAUCAAUCACAUAAUAGUAAAUAGAAUGGAAAACAAUUACAGAAAAUAAUCGAAAUAAUAUUUGAGGAAACAAAAUGUUAUGCAACAGGGUUAUUGAAGUCACAAUGUGUGCAUGUAUAAGCAAGGAGUACAAUUGUACAAGAUCAACAAGGCAACACCCGUUCUAGAAAACAAUUAUAUGCUAAGAAUGCAUGGAAUAAAAUGAAAAAACAUGAAGACGUACUGGUUGGAAAUGUCAAUUGCGCUUGCACGAAUUUCUAUCAAGUUAUCACGAUUAUUAUGAUUAUUUUUUCUGUGAGAAAUAAAUAUCCGUUGUACUAUUAUUACGGCA